UCAGCUGCCAAAUUCAUCAUCAUCAUUGAUUAUUUAGAUUAAUUAAAAAAAAAGAAAAAUAGGAAUUAGCUUAAGCGACGUCUCCUAAUUAAGUCACACAAGAAACGUCUCUUGUGUCGCGUGGGAGAAGAAUUCAAGAGGAAAACAAAAUUCAGUCUCAAGUCGACGAUUCGGUUCCUCUCCGCUACGACGGCGUUGUGGCUGUCCUCGAAGACAAGCAAAUCAACGGUGGAUCCCGUUUCGCCUCCGCCUCCGCCUCCGCCUCCGAACGUCGCCGCCGUUCGCGAUUCUCCUGGAUUCAGGUUAGCAUCCAUCGUGCCAAGAAGAGUGAUUUCUAUUUGAGAGUGAGGAGUCGUCCGAUAAAUGAAGAUAGUAAUCUGAGCGAGCCUGAAGACGAGGUACGUUUUUGAGUAUCUGUGUAUUUGUUGCAUUGAUUGAAUCAUAGUUUUGGUAGAUUAAUUUAAUAGUUUUGAUUUAUUCAACUGAAGUUGUUUGAUUGAACCUUGGUUAAGUCCAAUUGGUUUAGGUCGAUAACUGAGAGAUGCAAUUAGAUCUUGAGAAUGAUAAUUAUGUGAAAGUCUUAGCAAUGCUGGAGAAGAGUUCGCAUCCUCGUUGAAGCAUAUGUAUAAAGCAAUGUUUGUUUUUGUUGGUUGGUAGUUCAUGUGGGAUUAGAUUUUUUUUGCUUCAGUAAUUCAAGUUUGUUUUUAGAGAUCCGUAUUAGAAGAGCUCUCUCUGCCUCGCUUUGUGCUUGAACUGAUUCUGAGCAUAGGCUUGUUUAGUUCCUGUAAAACGAAAUACAUGUGGGAUAGAGUUUUUUGCUUCUAUCCUUUUGUUUCUUGGCCAUAGAAUAACAAAAACUUUAUAUUUCAGUUGUGGAAAGGCUUAUGCUGUCAUUCCAGGGAAGAUGAAGUUAGUUUUGCAAGAGGUCUUCGAGUUAUAGGGUGUUUAUUAGAGUAUUCAGCUUCAUUAUUUUUGCAGUUACAGUGCUCUCUUCUUUGAUGCUUGGUUUGAUUAUGUUUGAUAGUAAUCAGUGUAGAGUAAGUAAGCAUAGAUAUGCAGAGUAAUGCAUCCUUUUGUUUAUUGAUUUCUCUUAACUUAUACUUGGCAUGUUUUUGUCUAUCAAAGAAUACAAGAGACACGGUUUUUGUAUCAUAAGCUGCUAUUAUUAAGCUCCUAUUUGGGUUUGAUGCAGGGUGGAUGUUGUAGCUUGCCGCAAUGAGGGGAAGGAGCUACACUCCAUCACCACCAAGGGGUUAUGGGAGGAGGGGUCGAACAAGCCCAAGCCCUAGAGGAGGCCGUUAUGGAGGUCGUAGUGUGGACCUCCCGACCAGUCUUUUGGUUCGCAAUCUACGCUAUGACUGCAGGCAAGAAGAUCUCAGGAGGUCGUUUGAGCAGUUUGGGCCUCUUAGGGACAUCUAAGAACCCUAAAUCAAGAGAUUUGGAUUGGAACAUAUAAAUGCUAGAGUCUCUUAACAUUGUCUCUUAACUCACAUUUUCUAAUUAAAAUUAUUAAAAAAAAUAUAAGAGAUCCUAAAUGGAUCUUUGGAAUAACGAUGUUCUUAUGCAUUCAACGUCUUUAUGACUCAGUAUAGGACACACACGACUCGUUGGUAAUGUCAUUUAAUAGCCAUUUAUGGCUGUGAAUAUGUCUGAUAGACAUAGUCACAUGGACACACACGACUCGUUGGUAAUGUCAUUUAAUAGCCAUUUAUGGCUGUGAAUAUGUCUGAUAGACAAAGGCAAUGAUGUUGAGGAUUUUUUUUUUUUUGAGAACUAGAUUUUGAGGAUUUCGCAGAGAUAAAAAUAUCUUCCAAAUGCGAAUAUUUUGUUGUUGCUCUUGUGAAAAUAAAUAAUGAAAUUAUGUGACAAUAUCAAAUAAUUUUUUAAUAUCAAAUAAGUUACAAAUAACUCAACAAAAAAUGAUGUAAAUACGAAUAUAAAUUAAUACGUCAUUUCUAAAAUUGCUCACAAAAUAUAAUGAAACAUUAUAACUGAUUUAUUGGAAGAUAUAUUGG